UAGGGAAUCUUCNNNAAUGGGCGAAAGCCUGAUGGAGCAACGCCGCGUGUGUGAUGAAGGCUUUAGGGUCGUAAAGCACUGUUGUAUGGGAAGAAAUGCUAGAAUAGGGAAUGAUUCUAGUUCGACGGUACCAUACCAGAAAGGGACGGCUAAAUACGUGCCAGCAGCCGCGGUAAUACGUAUGUCCCGAGCGUUAUCCGGAUUUAUUGGGCGUAAAGCGAGCGCAGACGGUUGAUUAAGUCUGAUGUGAAAGCCCGAAGCUCAACUCCGGAAUGGCAUUGGAAACUGGUUAACUUGAGUGUUGUAGAGGUAAGUGGAACUCCAUGUGUAGCGGUGGAAUGCGUAGAUAUAUGGAAGAACACCAGUGGCGAAGGCGGCUUACUGGACAACAACUGACGUUGAGGCUCGAAAGUGUGGGUAGCAAACAGGAUUAGAUACCCUGGUAGUCCACACCGUAAACGAUGAAUACUAGGUGUUAGGAAGUUUCCGCCUCUUAGUGCCGAAGCUAACGCAUUAAGUAUUCCGCCUGGGGAGUACGACCGCAAGGUUG
rnacentral:rRNA from 1 species